rnacentral:rRNA from 1 species
UACGAAGGGUGCAAGCGUUACUCGGAAUUACUGGGCGUAAAGCGUGCGUAGGUGGUUUUUUAAGUCCGUUGUGAAAGCCCUGGGCUCAACCUGGGAAUGGCAGUGGAUACUGGAAAGCUAGAGUGCGGUAGAGGGUAGUGGAAUUCCCGGUGUAGCAGUGAAAUGCGUAGAGAUCGGGAGGAAUACCGAUGGCGAAGGCAGGUCUCUGGGCUGACACUGACGCUCAUGCACGAAAGCGUGGGGAGCAAACAGG